rnacentral:misc_RNA from 1 species
GCCAAAACAAACAAGCAUAGUUAAGUGGAUCUGAUAUAUUAAAGUCAAAACAAUUGUCUCUAAAGGAGUUGGAAAAAGUGAAGUGGUCACAACCCACCCUCUGACUUCUUUUGACUGAACAGUUCCUCACACUUUUGAUUUACUUUGAGUAUCCCACUGUUGCAUUGAUGGCAAACUUACAUACUGGCAAAAAAUAUUUGAAAAUAUUUUGACAAUGCAGGCUUCAUCACUCACUUAUGAGGAUAAAAGUAGAAACCAAAAUAAAUAAAUAAAUAAAACUCGAAAUAAGCGGAGAAAUCAAUUAUCAAAUAGAGCGAUAUUUCCACAUAUACGCAAGAAUCGUACGGUCAAUUUGAUUCUUUUGCUGAAAGUUAUUUGAUUUAAUUCCCUUUUGGUAAAAGGAAAGCAUCAGAACAAAUCUUGUGCGUGUUUGUUAGGUGGUGCUGGGGUUGGGUUUUUGGUUU